AAAACAACUCUGAGCAGUGGAUCACUCGGCUCACGGGUCGAUGAAGAACGCAGCCAGCUGCGAGAUUUGGUGUGAAUUGCAGGACACAUUGAGCACUGAUUUUUCGAACGCACAUUGCGGCCUCGGGUCUCUCCCGGGGCCUCGCCUGUCUGAGGGUCGGAUAAGACUUGCAUAGGAAAUGGGUUUUUUUCCCACUUUCCAAUUGACCGCACCGGAGACUCUAGUAGUUUCCGCCGGUUCAAGGGCAAUCAGGAUCCUCCCCGGUCGAAGGAGCGUCGCCUUGAUGCAUGCUCGUCGGUUGGAGAAGCCGAACAUAAAAGAGUUUCUCCUCGAGGACGAGAUAUAGGCUUGAUGCUUAAGAAACCAUACUUUAAGGGAGAGAGUACUGCUUUUCUUUGUCAGAAAUGACGAAAAAAGACUUUUGAAAAAAAACUUGUCGACCUCAGAUCAGACGAGAUGACCCGCUGAAUUUAAGCAUAUAAAUAAGCGGAGGAAAAGAAACCAACAGGGAUUCCCUGAGUAACGGCGAGCGAAAAGGGAAGAGCCCAGCGCCAAAUCCCGCUUUCGAAAGAGGGCUGGGAAAUGUGGCGUUUAGGAGUGAGCGUGCUGGGAGUGGACAUGGCAGCAAGUCCCCCUGACCGGGGCUGUUACCCAAAGUGGGUGCGAGGCCCAUAGUUGCUUUGUCUCUUUCGGAUGCGAUCUCCUUGGAGUCGGGUUGCUUGGGAGUGCAGCCCUAAUCGGGUGGUAAACUCCACCUAAGGCUAAAUACCACCGUGAGACCGAUAGCAAACAAGUACCGUGAGGGAAAGUUGCAAAGAACUUUGAAGAGAGAGUUCAAGAGUACGUGAAACUGCUCAGAGGCAAACGGGUGGGCCCUCGAAAUCCUGUGGCGGGAGGAUUCAGUCGAGUGGCGGGGACGCGAGGCCGGAGAGACCAGAAUGGUUCACUUCAGUGACCGCUCCAGCUUCGCGCUUUCUCGUCGUCCGACGCAUUUGUUUCCCGUCCGAAGGACGCCGCAACCGGUUGGGGAACGGCCUUAAGGUCGGGUAAUGGCAGGUGGCCGGUGUUCAGCCUCGUGCUGUCUGCCGGUUGUUAGCCGUCCCGUCGCAUGGCUCGUGAUCCGACCGUGGUGUCGCGAAGCCCCUCGUGGGCUUCUACGCCUCCUCCGUUCGCGGACGCCGGGCAUUGGGCGGCAGAAGAUUCCUUCGCACUGCGGACGCACGGGCUCGCCUCGUGGUCCUGCGGUCGGAGGGCUUUGUUGGUUGCUCUUGACCCGUCGGAGUGCUGGCGGUUAGCGGCGAGUAGAUCGGUCACCCACCCGACCCGUCUUGAAACACGGACCAAGGAGUCUAACAUGUGUGCGAGUCAAUGGGUCUCGAAUAAGCCCAGAGGCGCAAUGAAAGCAAAGGUCGGCCUCGACGUCGACUGUGUUGGGAUCUUCCCUCCUUCGCGGGGGAGGCGCACCAACGACCCGUCCUGUCCGAUUUAUCGGUUGGGCGGAGCUGAGCAUACACGUUGGGACCCGAAAGAUGGUGAACUAUGCCCGGGCAGGACGAGGCCAGAGGAAACUCUGGUGGAGGUCCGCAGCGGUUCUGACGUGCAAAUCGAUCGUCAGAUCCGGGUAUAGGGGCGAAAGACUAAUCGAACCAUCUAGUAGCUGGUUCCCUCCGAAGUUUCCCUCAGGAUAGCUGGCGCUCGUAGAACUCAGUCUCAUCCGGUAAAGCGAAUGAUUAGAGGCCUUGGGGCCGAAACGACCUCAACCUAUUCUCAAACUUUAAAUGGGUGAGAAGUCCGCCUUGCAUGACUGAAGGCCGGACGAUUGGAUGAGAGUGCCCAGUGGGCCACUUUUGGUAAGCAGAACUGGCGCUGUGGGAUGAACCAAACGCCGGGUUAAGGCGUCCGAUGCGAGACGCUCAUGAGACCCCAUGAAAGGUGUUGGUUGCUCUAGACAGCAGGACGGUGGCCAUGGAAGUCGGAAUCCGCUAAGGAGUGUGUAACAACUCACCUGCCGAAGCAACUAGCCCUGAAAAUGGAUGACGCUCCAGCGUCGAGCCCAUACCCGGCCGCUGCGGCAGAUCUCUUAAUUAUAGGAGUAUUAAGCCGCAGUGAGUAGGAGGGUCGCAGCGGCGAGCGUUGAAGGUGCCGGGCGUGAGCCCGCCUGGAGCCGCCGCUGGUGCAGAUCUUGGUGGUA
rnacentral:rRNA from 1 species